GCUGGGUGUGGUGGUUCAUGCCUGUAAUCCCAGCAGCUCAGGAGGCUGAGGCAAGAGGAUCACAAGUUCAAAGCCAGCCUCAGCAAUUAAGGGAGGCCCUAAGCCACUUAGUGAGACCCUGUCUCAA
rnacentral:sRNA from 1 species